rnacentral:rRNA from 1 species
UCCAGACUCCUACGGGAGGCAGCAGUGAGGAAUAUUGGUCAAUGGCCGGAAGGCUGAACCAGCCAAGUCGCGUGAGGGAAUAAGGCCCUAUGGGUCGUAAACCUCUUUUAUCAGGGAGCAAAGGCGUCCACGAGUGGACGAAAGGAGAGUACCUGAAGAAAAAGCAUCGGCUAACUCCGUGCCAGCAGCCGCGGUAAUACGGAGGAUGCGAGCGUUAUCCGGAUUCAUUGGGUUUAAAGGGUGCGUAGGUUGUUUUAUAAGUUAGCGGUGAAAUACCGAUGCUCAACAUCGGGGCUGCCGCUAAUACUGUAGGACUAGAGAUCGGAUGCAGCAGGCGGAAUGUGUAGUGUAGCGGUGAAAUGCAUAGAUAUUACACAGAACACCGAUUGCGAAGGCAGCUUGCUAGGCCGGAUCUGACACUGAUGCACGAAAGCGUGGGGAUCGAACAGGAUUAGAUACCCUUGUA